UGCGUAGGCGGUUAUAUUAGUCGGGUGUUAAAUCCUGAGGCUCAACCUCAGGCUCGCAUUCGAAACGGUAUAACUAGAAGAAGUCAGAGGUAAGCAGAACUCUCGGUGUAGGGGUGAAAUCCGUUGAUAUCGAGGGGAAUACCAAAUGCGAAGGCAGCUUACUGGGACUUUCUUGACGCUGAGGCACGAAAGCGUGGGUAGCGAACAGGAUUAGAUACCCUGGUAGUCC
rnacentral:rRNA from 1 species